UAGCGAUUGCAGCGAAAAUCCUUUCUCGGAGCGCAGCGUAGAGAAAGAUUGUAGCGGAAAGCGCGGCCGCGC
rnacentral:sRNA from 1 species